AUUUUAUUUUAACUACUUUUAUUGUGAUGUUUUUUUUUGUUUUUAUCUUUUAUGUUUUUUCUGUAAAAUGUUUUAAUUUUUUUUUGUUUUUGGUAAAUAUCUAAAAUUUGGUUUUUGAACUGGAUUAGUACCCAGGUAAUCAAAGUUUAUUAAUUCGGGAGUAAGGUUAGGUUUAAACCGAAAAAAUAUUGACUGACUUUGGAUUUUUCUUUGGAAUAUGUUUUGGAGAGCCCUCCUUAUUGGUUUAUUUUUUUAGCUCAUGUAUGAUUGUCUAGUUUUUAUUUUUUUUGUAAUGCUUUUUGUUUUGGCUGUUAAGACAGAUAUAUAUUUGGUUUAUGGAUUUAUUUUGUUUUUUAUGUGUUACUAUUAUUAAGGUUUUUUAUUGGAUUAUUUUUUUAUUUUUUUAUGAAAUGGGAAAAGAAAGUAAUUUUUUUUUUAUGUUUUGGUGAAUUUCAAGAAC
rnacentral:rRNA from 1 species